GCCGGGCGUGGUGGCGCGCGCCUGUAAUCCAAGCUACCGGGAGGCUGAGACUGGCGGAUCGUUUGAGCUCAGGAGUUCUGAGUUGCAGCGGACUAUGUCGAUCGGGUGUCCGCACUAAGUUCGGUAUCGAUAUGGUGCUCCUGGGGGAGCUCGGGACUACCAGGUCGCCUAAGGAGGGGUGCACCGGCCCAGGUCGGAAACGGAGCAGGUCAAAGCCCCCGUGCCGCUCAGUAGUGGGAUCGCGCCCGUGAAUAGACGCUGUAGCGCAGCCUGAGUAAUACAGCGGGACUCAGUUUCU
ensembl:misc_RNA Metazoa_SRP Metazoan signal recognition particle RNA